rnacentral:rRNA from 1 species
GACGAACGCUGGCGGCGUGCUUAACACAUGCAAGUCGAGCGGAAAGGCCCUGCUUUUGUGGGGUGCUCGAGUGGCGAACGGGUGAGUAACACGUGAGUAACCUGCCCUUGACUUUGGGAUAACUUCAGGAAACUGGGGCUAAUACCGGAUAGGAGCUCCUGCUGCAUGGUGGGGGUUGGAAAGUUUCGGCGGUUGGGGAUGGACUCGCGGCUUAUCAGCUUGUUGGUGGGGUAGUGGCUUACCAAGGCUUUGACGGGUAGCCGGCCUGAGAGGGUGACCGGCCACAUUGGGACUGAGAUACGGCCCAGACUCCUACGGGAGGCAGCAGUGGGGAAUAUUGCACAAUGGGCGGAAGCCUGAUGCAGCAACGCCGCGUGCGGGAUGAAGGCCUUCGGGUUGUAAACCGCUUUCGCCUGUGACGAAGCGUGAGUGACGGUAAUGGGUAAAGAAGCACCGGCUAACUACGUG